UCGCCAUUCGCGGCGUCCUGUGGUAAGAAAGCGACCAUUUUUUUCAAAUCCGCCAACGUUCUCCAACGCUCCUCUUUUCUCUUCCUCCUGAGUCGUGCCUUUCGGACCCUUGGUCUUUUCUUUUCUUUUCUUCUCCUCCGUCGUCGCCUUCGCCGUUUAAAUAUCUAUGGAUUUGGUGACGUCUCCGAAGAAAUCUUGCACCAGAGAGCAGCAAAACAUCUACCAGCAAUGGUUCUCCGUCGCCGAUUCUGAUGGAGAUGGACGGGUGACGGGUAAUGAUGCGCUCAAGUUUUUUGCCAUGUCUAAGCUCUCCAGGCCGGAACUUAAACAGGUGUGGGCCAUUGCUGAUUCAAAACGUCAGGGAUUUCUCGGAUUCCAAGAGUUUAUUGUUGCAAUGCAGCUUGUUGCGCUAGCACAAGAAGGGCAUGAGAUUACUCAGGAUGUCCUUACUCAUGUAGACUUGGAGAAUGUGAAACCUCCAGUGAUGGGAGGUUUGGAUAUACUUUUAGCUAAAUUUAAUAAGCGUUCAGCGAAGAGAGAUGAUCCAACUGUAGAUGAAGCUCCUAAAACCCAACCACCAUCACCAGCUCGCUGGUUUAGCUCAAAAUCAUCAAAGAAGAUACCUUUAAAAUCAGUUACUUCAAUUAUCGAUGGUUUGAAGAAAUUGUACAUUGAAAAAUUGAAGCCUUUGGAAGUUACCUACCAAUUCAAUGAUUUUGUUUCUCCCUUAUUGACAAAUAGUGAUUUUGAUGCCAAGCCCAUGGUUAUGCUCCUGGGUCAAUAUUCUACCGGAAAAACGACAUUCAUAAAACAUUUGCUAAAUUCUAGCUACCCAGGUGCUCAUAUUGGACCAGAACCUACAACUGAUAGAUUCGUUGUUAUUACGUCAGGACCAGAUGAGAGGAGUAUUCCUGGGAACACUAUUGCUGUGCAAGCAGAUAUGCCCUACAGUGGUCUGACAACUUUUGGAACUGCAUUCCUGUCAAAAUUUGAGUGUUCUCAGAUGCCACAUCCACUGCUGGAGCAUAUUACUUUUGUUGAUACUCCUGGUGUUCUUUCUGGAGAAAAACAACGAACUCAACGUAGCUAUGAUUUUACUGGUGUUACAUCCUGGUUUGCAGCAAAGUGUGACCUUAUUCUUCUCUUGUUUGAUCCUCAUAAACUAGACAUCAGCGAUGAGUUUAAGCGUGUAAUUGGAUCUUUGCAUGGCCAUGAUGACAAAAUCCGUGUAGUUCUGAAUAAGGCAGACCAGGUUGACACCCAACAGCUUAUGAGAGUUUAUGGUGCAUUACUGUGGUCACUGGGGAAGGUUCUAAACACCCCCGAGGUCAUGCGUGUUUAUAUUGGUUCAUUUAAUGACAAACUGGUGAAUGAAGCAGCUGUUGGCCCAGUUGGAAAGGAGCUGUUUGAGAGAGAACAAGAAGACCUGCUUUCUGACUUGAAAGAUAUCCCAAAGAAGGCUUGUGAUCGCCGUAUUAAUGAAUUUGUUAAGCGUGCUAGAGCAGCCAAGAUUCAUGCAUAUAUAAUCAGUCAUCUAAAGAAAGAGAUGCCUGCAAUGAUGGGCAAGGCUAAGACUCAGCAGCGACUCAUUGAUGACCUGGAGGAUGAGUUUGCAAAGCUAUAACCUUGGAGACCUGGCUGGAAAAGAAGAUAGAAGAAUGGCCUUAAAUCGGAUAAGUAUUAUGGAUUUAGUUUUAUUGUUCCACUUUCAAUUUUCUUCUAAAGGUCUUGAUGUGCAGAUUUUUACUAGAAGAUGCCUUUUGUGCCUCCUUGCAUCACUUAUACCACUCAUUGCUUAUGGACAUUGACUGGUUCAAAGGGAAUUCCAUUUACCAAUAGGUGAUUUUCCCAAUGCUGACCACUUCAGGGAGGUGCUAAGUGGCUAUAAUAUUGACAAGUUUGAGAAGCUGAAGCCAAAGAUGAUACAGGCUGUGGAUGACAUGUUGGCAUAUGACAUUCCAGAACUCCUGCAGAGAUUCAGAAAUCCAUAUGACUGAAGAAUGCUUUCAUCUUUGCACACAAUAUGCUCCUUCAGAAUCCAAUUGGCACGGAAGUAUGUCAUGCGGAUGAUGAUAGUCUGUGUUACAAGAGCCAUGUAUGGUUCGUGCAUGUUCUCUUUUGAAUUUCAUUUUUCUCAGAGAAUUGUUGUAAAGUAAAUCAAAAGGUAUGUCGCUGCAACAAAAGAUGAUAUUAGGGAUGAUAAAUAUGUUUAGAAUUCUCUUGGUAAAAUUCAUUUAUUCUAAGCCUGGGGAGUGUAA